UACGUAGGGUGCAAGCGUUGUCCGGAAUUAUUGGGCGUAAAGAGCUCGUAGGCGGUCUGUCGCGUCUGCUGUGAAAAUCCAGGGCUCAACCCUGGACCUGCAGUGGGUACGGGCAGACUAGAGUGCGGUAGGGGAGAUCGGAAUUCCUGGUGUAGCGGUGAAAUGCGCAGAUAUCAGGAGGAACACCGAUGGCGAAGGCAGGUCUCUGGGCCACUACUGACGCUGAGAAGCGAAAGCGUGGGGAGCGAACAGG
rnacentral:rRNA from 1 species